CAAUUCGAGCUAUCUUUGACUCUUUGUACACACUGUAGUUCUACACAUUAGACCUUAUAAUUGAUCUCCAUAUACUGGACAGCUACUCACUUUGGGCUGUAGGAAUUUAUAAAGAAGACAGUGACGUAUUAACCAUGAUUUUAUUCUGUUCUAGUAGAGAUAGUAGUAUAAUUGGAUCAAAUCAAACUAAAACGAUAAAUUGAAACAAGGAGGCGAGACAAGUACCUUAACAAUGAAAAGUACUGUGAUAGUAUUUGCGUUUCUCAAUUUUAUCUCUCAUUUUGGUUUCAUGGUCAUUUUCUCUAUAAUGGUGGAUUCUUCAACUAUUUUAAUAAUUUUCCUCCUUUUCUCAUUUGCCAGGCAAUUUAGAGGAUUACUUAUGUGUACAGAAAAAACAGACACAUACACAUAGCGAGCAUCUACUACUCAAAUUUGGUUAAAUCCUAUAUUCUACAAUUUGAUUACAUUACCAGAGAGAUACAUACAAUAUUACAAAAAUUGUCAAAGCUAUAUCUUUUCUGUUCGUCACCAAAUUAGCCAUGUACAAGCCUAUUCUGUAAAAAGAAGUGGUUGUGCUCAUUCAUUGGCGAACGUAUCUCGGUCGUAAAAUGAUCCACUUUUCCGUUCACUUGUGUUAGUUUUAAACCAACUGAAGUCUGUAACUCGAGAGGCCAAAGCAAAGCACUUAGAUCGUCAGCCCAUUGAUUCUGCUUUGCUUUCUUCUUUUGCCACGGUAUAAUUCAUCUCAGUAUAUACAGAACAACUCCUUAUGGACAUAACUUUUCUUUUGGGGAAAAAGAAUUGUUUGAAGCUUUAAGUUCAAUGUGAGAAGGAACUUGCAUCAGUGCUAUAAAAUGAGUACUCACUCAAGCUGAAGUUUAGCCGCUCUUCGUCCCACUUAAUUAUCUCCCUUGCAUACUUGAGCGAUUCAUCUACUGUUUUUGGCUCUAAACCUCUUACUAGUGAAACAUACAGCUUCAGGUGAGAAGGAACUUGCAUCAGUGCUAUAAAAUGAGUACUCACUCAAGCUGAAGUUUAGCCGCUCUUCGUCCCACUUAACUAUCUCCCUUGCAUACUUAAGCGAUUCAUCUACUGUUUUUGGCUCUAAACCUCUUACU
rnacentral:lncRNA from 1 species